AGUGAACGCUGGCGGUAGGCCUAACACAUGCAAGUCGAACGGCAGCACAGUAAGAGCUUGCUCUUACGGGUGGCGAGUGGCGGACGGGUGAGGAAUACAUCGGAAUCUACUUUUUCGUGGGGGAUAACGUAGGGAAACUUACGCUAAUACCGCAUACGACCUACGGGUGAAAGCAGGGGAUCUUCGGACCUUGCGCGAUUGAAUGAGCCGAUGUCGGAUUAGCUAGUUGGCGGGGUAAAGGCCCACCAAGGCGACGAUCCGUAGCUGGUCUGAGAGGAUGAUCAGCCACACUGGAACUGAGACACGGUCCAGACUCCUACGGGAGGCAGCAGUGGAGAAUAUUGGGCAAAGGGCGCAAGCCUGAUCCAGCCAUACCGCGUGGGUGAAGAAGGCCUUCGGGUUGUAAAGCCCUUUUGUUGGGAAAGAAAAGCAGCAGGUUAAUACCCCGCUGUUCUGACGGUACCCAAAGAAUAAGCACCGGCUAACUUCGUG
rnacentral:rRNA from 1 species